ensembl:lncRNA
CAACUAAUAUUUCCUUGUUGAAAUAAAUUUAUACUCUAACACCUGACAUCUCUGUGGACUUUUCACAGAAAAUGGAUAGUGAAGUACAGAAGAACAAAAGGGAAAAGGAUCGACAAUCCAUUACCUUGACAUAAUAAUUUUGAAAAUCAGGAAUGCACGUAUAACAAAAGGAAACCUUCAUCUGUGGCAGAUUUAAAGAUAAGAAGAGCCCUGAAAAAACCCAACACGAUUUCCUUGGAAUUCAGUGAGCUCCCAGCAUCAGUUCAGGCAGAAACCAGAAGCCUACUGGCCGAGGCUUGCAAGGGAUUCCUUGUUUGGGAGGGAUGUUAGACCAAGUGAUCACUCACAACUCUUCCAGGGUAAAAUUCUGCUAUUGAAUACUUUUUAUUUAUCUGUUCUAAUUUAUUACCCAUAACAACCAAGCAGACGGCAAAAGACUCCAGAGGAGAUGUAGUUAUAAAUGAAAGCCAUAUUCUGAUGGGAUCCAAAUAUCUGUGGAUAAGAAAUGAGAUUUCUUGAGAAGCCUGGAGGAUGUUAUUUGAUAAAAGGCAGAUAACUUUUAAACAAUGGAAUUUUGAGAAAUAUGAAAUGUCAGAAUGUGUUUAAACAUUUAUUUUUUAAUUUAAUCUACUUAUACCCAAAGUUCAUAUCAACAAACGAAAUAGCCAAGAAUUGAGUAAGACAAAUAAAAUGGACUCAUUUUUCUUCUCUUUUUUUCCUUUUUCUUUUCUUUCUUUCUUUCUUUUUUAACCGAGUCUCAUUG